rnacentral:lncRNA from 1 species
ACUGUGAAAAGGACGUUUAUUUAGAGUAUGAGCAGGGGAACAAGGUGGGCUAUCACCCAGUUUGACUUCAGCUGGGGCCGUGGCCCCUGGUGACCACACUUUCACCCCUCUGCACAUGUGCAUGUCCACAAAUGACCACAAAAGCACCCAGAGUGUUGAUUUUAGAGUUACAAAUAAAUUUUAGCUAAAGGUGAAUUUGCGGAUACAGAAUCCACAAAUAAUGAAGGUCAACAAUAUGGAUGUAUUGUUGACCCUUAAAAAUAAAAUAGCCAGUUUUUAUUUUAUUUUAUUUUAUUUUUGUCUUUUUAGGGCCGCAUCCACAGCAUAUGGAGGUUCCCAGGCUAGGGGUCUAAUUGGAGCUGUAGCCUCCGGCCUACACAAGAGCCACAGAGCUGCAUCUGCAACCUACACCACAGCUCACAGCAACAUCACAUCCUUAACCCACUGAGCAAGGCCAGGGAGCAAACCCACCACCUCGUGGUUCCUAGCUGGAUUCAUUCCCACUGCGCCACAACAGGAACUUUUAAAUAAUUUUUUAUUAGAUUCCACAUAUGUGAUAUCACAUGAUGUUUGUCUUUGACUUCAGUUAGUGUAAUAAUCUCUAGGUCCAUCCAUGUCACUGCAAAUAGCAUUAUUAUUAUUUUUUUGUCUUUUUGCCAUUUCUUGGGCCGCUCCCACUGCACAUGGAGGUUCCCAGGCUAGGGGUUGAAUUGGAGCUGUAGCCGCCGGCCUGCGCCAGAACCACAGCAACGCGGGAUCUGAGCCGCAUCUGUGACCUACACCACAGCUUAUGGCAAUGCCGGAUCGUUAACCCACUGAGCAAGGCCAGGGACCGAACCUGCAACCUCAUGGUUCCUAGUCGGAUUCGUUAACCACUGUGCCACAACGGGAACUCCAGCAUUAUUAUUAUUUUUUUAAUAGGAAUUUUAUUUUAUUUUUUAUUUAUUUUUUGGUUUUUUGCUAUUUCUUUGGGCCACUCCAGCGGCAUAUGGAGGUUCCCGGGCUAGGGGUCGAAUCGGAGCUGUAGCCACUGGCCUACGCCAGAGCCACAGCAACACAGGAUCUGAGCCACGUCUGCAACCUACACCACAGCUCACAGCAACGCUGGAUCGUUAACCCACUAAGCAAGGGCAGGGACCGAACCCACAACCUCAUGGUUCCUAGUCGGAUUCGUUAACCACUGCGCCAUGACGGGAACUCCUAUUUUGUUUUUUAAGCAAAGUUGUAGGUAUAAAAAUCGUGGCUGAGUGUGAGAGCACGCCCCAAGCGACCCAGCUGGCGGGGUUCUGGGACAGAAGUUCAGGGGCCUGAAUGUGAGUUUACUGCAGGCUCUCUGAGCUCCCGGCUUCCCUCUGGCGGUGAGACAGGUGCAGACACAAAUGACAGGAUUCCGCAGAGAACAUGCAGCCCGCGAUAGGAGAGACCUGAUCUGGGAGCACUGAGA